rnacentral:rRNA from 1 species
CCUACGGGUGGCAGCAGUGAGGAAUAUUGGUCAAUGGGCGUAAGGCUGAACCAGCCAAGUCGCGUGAGGGAUGAAGGUUCUAUGGUUCGUAAACUUCUUUUAUAAGGGAAUAAAGGUCUGCACGUGUCGCUAUUUGUAUGUACCCUAUGAAUAAGCAUCGGCUAACUCCGUGCCAGCAGCCGCGGUAAUACGGAGGAUGCGAGCGUUAUCCGGAUUUAUUGGGUUUAAAGGGUGCGUAGGCGGCUUUUUAAGUCAGCGGUGAAAGUCUGUGGCUCAACCAUAGAAUUGCCGUUGAAACUGGGAGGCUUGAGUAUGUUUGAGGCAGGCGGAAUGCGUGGUGUAGCGGUGAAAUGCUUAGAUAUCACGCAGAACCCCGAUUGCGAAGGCAGCCUGCCAAGCCAUAACUGACGCUGAUGCACGAAAGCGUGGGGAUCAAACAGGAUUAGAUACCCUUGUAGUC